CGUGAGUAACCUGCCCUGGAGUGGGGAAUAACAGCUGGAAACAGCUGCUAAUACCGCAUAAUGCAGUUGGGCCGCAUGGCUCUGACUGCCAAAGAUUUAUCGCUCUGGGAUGGACUCGCGUCUGAUUAGCUAGUUGGUGGGGCAACGGCCCACCAAGGCGACGAUCAGUAGCCGGACUGAGAGGUUGGCCGGCCACAUUGGGACUGAGACACGGCCCAGACUCCUACGGGAGGCAGCAG
rnacentral:rRNA from 1 species